UAGGGAAUCUUCGGCAAUGGACGAAAGUCUGACCGAGCAACGCCGCGUGAGUGAAGAAGGUUUUCGGAUCGUAAAACUCUGUUGUUAGAGAAGAACAAGGACGUUAGUAACUGAACGUCCCCUGACGGUAUCUAACCAGAAAGCCACGGCUAACUACGUGCCAGCAGCCGCGGUAAUACGUAGGUGGCAAGCGUUGUCCGGAUUUAUUGGGCGUAAAGCGAGCGCAGGCGGUUUCUUAAGUCUGAUGUGAAAGCCCCCGGCUCAACCGGGGGGGUCAUUGGAAACUGGGAGACUUGAGUGCAGAAGAGGAGAGUGGAAUUCCAUGUGUAGCGGUGAAAUGCGUAGAUAUAUGGAGGAACACCAGUGGCGAAGGCGGCUCUCUGGUCUGUAACUGACGCUGAGGCUCGAAAGCGUGGGGAGCAAACAGG
rnacentral:rRNA from 1 species